rnacentral:rRNA from 1 species
UAACGCGUUAAACAUUCCGCCUGGGACUACGGUCGCAAGAUUAAAACUCAAAGGAACUGACGGGGACCCGCACAAGCGGUGGAGCAUGUGGUUUAAUUCGAUGCAACGCGAAAAACCUUACCACUCCUUGACAUGGAAAUUAUACCUAUUCGAAGGGAUAGGGUCGGUUCGGCCGGGUUUCACACAGGUGUUGCAUGGCUGUCGUCAGCUCGUGUCGUGAGAUGUUGGGUUAAGUCCCGCAACGAGCGCAACCCUCAUCCUUAGUUACCAUCAGGUAAUGCUGGGGACUUUAAGGAGACUGCCAGUGAUAAACUGGAGGAAGGUGGGGAUGAUGUCAAGUCAUCAUGGCCCUUAUGGAGUGGGCUACACACGUGCUACAAUGGUGGCUACAAUGGGCUGCAAAGUCGCGAGGCUAAGCCAAUCCCUUAAAAGCCAUCUCAGUUCGGAUUGUACUCUGCAACUCGAGUGCAUGAAGUUGGAAUCGCUAGUAAUCGUGGAUCAGCACGCCACGGUGAAUACGUUCUCGGGUCUUGUACACACUGCCCGUCACGCCAUGGGAAUUGGUUUCACUCGAAGCUAACGACCUAACCGCAAGGAGGGAGUUAUUUAAAGUGGGAUCGGUGACUGGGGUG